rnacentral:rRNA from 1 species
AUGGCCACCAACAUCCAGCGAGGAACCGCCGCCGCAGCCGAAACCCACCACCUCCCCGCCAUGGACACAGCUACCCCACCGACAGAUACAGGCUAUUUAAAGUGCUGCUACAAGCGCAGCACAGUACCAGAGCCAAUUCCUAGCAUAGCCAUGGAGCCACCCUUGUCUUCCAAAAUAUUUGCCUCUCUCACCAUAAUACUGAUGAUGGCUACCUCCGUCGCCCUUGUCUCGGCCGCCUCGCUUGAAAAACAAGCAGGAGCACUCCUUGCCUGGAAAGCCACCCUCAGCAACCAUAGCCAAGUCUCCCUGGAAUCAUGGGGAAACAUGUCGUCAGCGCCUUGUAGUUGGGGUGGAAUCCGGUGCGCUGCACUGACAACACGACGACAGCGGCAUCGGGGCCGGCCGGUGAUCACCGGUGUCUCUCUACGGGGAUUGAAGCUAAGAGGGUCGCUGGAGUCCAUGGACUUCUCGGCCUUGAGUACCUUGGCGACCCUCGACCUCUCGCACAACCAGCUCUCUGGGAGCAUUCCUUCAAGCAUAGAGCAUCUUAGAGAGCUCCAUGCUCUACUUCUGCACGGCAAUCAGAUAAGAGGCUCGAUUCCACCUGCUUUAGCAAACCUCACAAAACUAACAACCCUGCGUCUUUCCAACAGUGAGCUUGUUGGGUCAGUUCCUCGAGAAAUUGGGAGUUUAGGGAUGCUGAAAGAGCUCAAUAUUAGUGUAAACCAACUUGAAGAUUAUAUUCCAACUAGUAUAGGAAAUUUAACACAACUAACAACGCUUCAUCUUCAUAGUAACAAAUCCAUCGGAUCCAUUCCUCGGGAAAUAAGAAAUUUGGUAAACCUGGAGGAUUUGAUACUCGGAUUGAACAAACUUACAGGAUCCAUACCAGUAUACUUGGGAAAUUUGACUAAAUUCACGACUUUGCUUCUCUAG